CAAACAGCCCUAUCUGACGUGGAAAUGCAGCUCUCUUCAAAGCCACCACACUCCUUUGACAAAAAACGUAAUUUUACCUCGCAGAACACGGGAGUUGCUGUUCUGCUGCUGCU